rnacentral:lncRNA from 1 species
UUAAAAAUUAUAAUCCGACAAACUGAACUAGGGCUACAACCCAUUUUACGUGCCAAUAUGUUUGGUUUAAACACGUGAGAUCUUAUUGGCGAAUUCGACUAUUGCAUGCAAUAUGCAAUGAUGCCUCUUAAAGAAUUAUUUUAUGAUUUCCAAGUAAACCUUUUCUUUUACUUUUUUUUAUGUUUUUGUCUUUAUUCGCACGUCACACUCGGAGUCCUUUCUUGCUUCCCACGCAACAGUAUCUGUUCUAAGCAUUUCAAUAUAAUUUGUUU